rnacentral:rRNA from 1 species
GACGAACGCUGGCGGCGUGCUUAACACAUGCAAGUCGAACGGAAAGGCCCUGCUUUUGUGGGGUGCUUGAGUGGCGAACGGGUGAGUAACACGUGAGUAACCUGCCCUUGACUUUGGGAUAACUUCAGGAAACUGGGGCUAAUACCGGAUAGGAGCUCCUGCUGCACGGUGGGGGUUGGAAAGUUUCGGCGGUUGGGGAUGGACUCGCGGCUUAUCAGCUUGUUGGUGGGGUAGUGGCUUACCAAGGCUUUGACGGGUAGCCGGCCUGAGAGGGUGACCGGCCACAUUGGGACUGAGAUACGGCCCAGACUCCUACGGGAGGCAGCAGUGGGGAAUAUUGCACAAUGGGCGGAAGCCUGAUGCAGCAACGCCGCGUGCGGGAUGACGGCCUUCGGGUUGUAAACCGCUUUCGCCUGUGACGAAGCGUGAGUGACGGUAAUGGGUAAAGAAGCACCGGCUAACUACGUG